rnacentral:rRNA from 1 species
CGUGUAGGCGGGCAGUCAAGUCAGAUGUGAAAUACCGAGGCUUAACCUCGGAGCUGCAUUUGAAACUGACUAUCUUGAGUGCCGGAGAGGAAAGCGGAAUUCCUAGUGUAGCGGUGAAAUGCGUAGAUAUUAGGAGGAACACCAGUGGCGAAGGCGGCUUUCUGGACGGUAACUGACGCUGAGGCGCGAAAGUGUGGGGAGCAAACA